UUGAACGCUGGCGGCAGGCCUAACACAUGCAAGUCGAGCGGAUGAAGGGAGCUUGCUCCUGGAUUCAGCGGCGGACGGGUGAGUAAUGCCUAGGAAUCUGCCUGGUAGUGGGGGAUAACGUCCGGAAACGGGCGCUAAUACCGCCUACGUCCUGAGGGAGAAAGUGGGGGAUCUUCGGACCUCACGCUAUCAGAUGCGCCUAGGUCGGAUUAGCUAGUUGGUGGGGUAAAGGCCUACCAAGGCGACGAUCCGUAACUGGUCUGAGAGGAUGAUCAGUCACACUGGAACUGAGACACGGUCCAGACUCCUACGGGAGGCAGCAGUGGGGAAUAUUGGACAAAGGGCGAAAGCCUGAUCCAGCCAUGCCGCGUGUGUGAAGAAGGUCUUCGGAUUGUAAAGCACUGUAAGUUGGGAGGAAGGGCAGUAAGUUAAUACCUUGCUGUUUUGACGGUACCAACAGAAUAAGCACCGGCUAACUUCGUG
rnacentral:rRNA from 1 species